rnacentral:rRNA from 1 species
AUUGAACGCUGGCGGCAGGCUUAACACAUGCAAGUCGAGCGGAGAGAGGUAGCUUGCUACUGAUCUUAGCGGCGGACGGGUGAGUAAUGCUUAGGAAUCUGCCUAUUAGUGGGGGACAACAUUUCGAAAGGAAUGCUAAUACCGCAUACGUCCUACGGGAGAAAGCAGGGGAUCUUCGGACCUUGCGCUAAUAGAUGAGCCUACGUCGGAUUAGCUAGUUGGGGGGGUAAAGGCCUACCAAGGCGACGAUCUGUAGCGGGUCUGAGAGGAUGAUCCGCCACACUGGGACUGAGACACGGCCCAGACUCCUACGGGAGGCAGCAGUGGGGAAUAUUGGACAAUGGGCGCAAGCCUGAUCCAGCCAUGCCGCGUGUGUGAAGAAGGCCUUAUGGUUGUAAGGCACUUUAAGCGAGGAGGAGGCUACUUUAGUUAAUACCUAGAGAUAGUGGACGUUACUCGCAGAAUAAGCACCGGCUAACUCUGUGCCAGCAGCCGCCGUAACAC